UACGUAGGGUGCGAGCGUUGUCCGGAAUUAUUGGGCGUAAAGAGCUCGUAGGCGGUGUGUCACGUCGGCCGUGAAAACCUGGGGCUUAACUCCGGGCCUGCAGUCGAUACGGGCAGACUGGAGUUCGGCAGGGGAGACUGGAAUUCCUGGUGUAGCGGUGAAAUGCGCAGAUAUCAGGAGGAACACCGGUGGCGAAGGCGGGUCUCUGGGCCGAUACUGACGCUGAGGAGCGAAAGCGUGGGGAGCGAACAGG
rnacentral:rRNA from 1 species